rnacentral:tRNA from 1 species
GGGCUCGUCGUCUAGCGGCUAUGACGUCGGCUUUACAAGCCGAAGGUCGGCGGUUCGAUCCCGCCCGGGCCCA